rnacentral:lncRNA from 1 species
ACUCUGAUGAAAGCUUCUCUACAAGCUUCAUAACUCAAAUGAGCUAUUGCUACUAAAUAGUAAGGGAAAUCUAUGGCAAUCUGUGACAAUAAGGACAGUUGUGGCUUUAUUCUGUAGCUUCUAUAUUUAUCUUCUCUUGUAAAUCAUUUUAUAUGGGUGCUACGAUUCUUUUGCUUCCUCAAGAUUAACUUUGAGGAUAGUGUGCUUGA